rnacentral:tRNA from 1 species
GCGCCCGUAGCUCAGCAGGAUAGAGCGGCGGUUUCCUAAACCGCAGGUCGCAAGUUCGACUCUUGCCGGGCGCA